rnacentral:rRNA from 1 species
UACGUAGGCAGCGAGCGUUGUUCGGAUUUACUGGGCGUAAAGAGUGCGUAGGCGGUUUUCUAAGUUUGGUGUGAAAUCUCCCGGCUUAACUGGGAGGGUGCGCCGAAGACUGGAAGGCUAGAGUAUGGGAGAGGUAAGCGGAAUUCCUGGUGUAGCGGUGAAAUGCGUAGAUAUCAGGAGGAACACCUGCGGUGUAGACGGCUUACUGGACCAUAACUGACGCUGAGGCACGAAAGCGUGGGGAGCAAACAGG